rnacentral:rRNA from 1 species
CUAAAAGGUCCCCGCCUGCCCAGUGAAGCCUUUUUAACGGCCGCGGUAUCCUAACCGUGCAAAGGUACCGUAAUCACUUGUCCCCUAAUUAGGGGCCCGUAUGAACGGCUAACUGAGGGUGAGACUGUCUCUUAUGGCCAAUCUAUGAAACUGAUCUCCUAGUACAAAAGCUAGGAUAAACCCACAAGACGAAAAGACCCUGUGGAGCUUUUAAACCCCCAUGCUACCACCAACCAACACAAUAGCAUGAGUUUUAAGUUGGGGCAACUACGGAGACAACGAAACCUCCGCGCAAAAGACUAAAAGUCCACACAGGGGCACGCCCCAAAAUGACCACAAACACUGACCCAGUAAAACUGAGCACCGAACCAAGUUACCCCAGGGAUAACAGCGCCAUCCCCCUCAAGAGUCCCUAUCGCCAGGGGGGUUUACGACCUCGAUGUUGGAUCAGGGCCCCCAGGUGGUGCAGCCGCUACUAACGGUCCGUUUGUUCAACGGAGAACGCCCUACGUGAUCUGAGUUCAAACCGGAGA